rnacentral:misc_RNA from 1 species
GUCGAGCGAUGUCUCGAGCCCUCUGAAGAUCCCCAGCGCCUCGCGUCACCCGAUGCCGAGUCGACAUCGACUGGCACCAGAAACGAUGAACCG